rnacentral:rRNA from 1 species
GCCAAAUGCCUCGUCAUCCAAUUUGUGACGCGCAUGAAUGGAUGAACGAGAUUCCCACUGUCCCUAUCUGCUAUCUAGCGAAACAACAGCCAAGGGAACGGGCUUGGCAUAAUCAGCGGGGAAAGAAGACCCUGUUGAGCUUGACUCUAGUCUGAGAUUGUGAAAUGUCUCCUGGGGUGUAGCAUAAGUGGGAGGUUUCGGCCGAUCUUGAAAUACCACUACCCAGGACGAUAUUUUACUCAUUUAAUUGUAUAGAACUGAUAAGUUAACACUUGUCAUUUUCUCAAGUUGUAAGCGAUUUGUGCACGAAUCAUCUUUUUGGUCCCUCUGCAAUCGUGAUCUAGUGUUUAAAGACAUUCUCAGGUGGGGAGUUUGGCUGGGGCGGCACAUCUGUGAAAUAAUAGCGCAGGUGUCCUAAGAUGAGCUCAAAGAGAACAGAAAUCUCUUGUAGAAGAAAAGGCUAAAAGCUCAUUUGAUUUUGAUUUUCAGUACGAAUACAAACUGUGAAAGCAUGGCCUAUCGAUCCUUUAGAAUUUACUUUGGAGAUUUCAAUCUAGAGGUGUCAGAAAAGUUACCACAGGGAUAACU